rnacentral:rRNA from 1 species
GGGGGGGGGGGGGGGGGGGGGGGGGGGGGGGGGGGCGGGGGGGAGGGGGGGGCGGGGGGCUGGCGGGGGGGGGGCGGGGGGGUGAGGGAGGGGAACGUGCCCGGUCGGGGGGGCUAACUAGUCGGGAGCGGCGCUAAUACCGCACACGAGCUAUGGGGGAAAGCGGGGGACCGUAAGGCCGCGCGCGAUUGGGGCGGGCGGUGUCAGAUUAGGUAGUUGGGUGGGUCAAGGCUCACCAAGGCUACAAUCUGUGGCUGGUCUGAGAGGACGACCAGCCACACUGGGACUGAGACACGGCCCAGACUCCUGCGGGAGGCAGCAGUGGGGAAUUUUGGACAAUGGGCGCAAGCCUGAUCCAGCAAUGCCGCGUGCAGGAAGAAGGCCUUCGGGUUGUAAACUGCUUUUGUACGGAACGAAACGGCUCUGGUUAAUACCCGGGGCUAAUGACGGUACCGUAAGAAUAAGCACCGGCUAACUACGUG